GGCAAAAUAGCUCAGUUGGUAGAGCAGCGCAUUGAAAAUGCGCGUGUCCUCGGUUCAAAUCCGAGUUUUGCCACCA
rnacentral:tRNA from 1 species